AACGAACGCUGGCGGCAUGCCUAACACGUGCAAGCCGAACGAGACCUUCGGGUCUAGUGGCGCACGGGUGCGUAACGCGUGGGAACCUGCCCUUAGGUUCGGAAUAACUCCCCGAAAGGGGUGCUAAUACCGGAUAAUGUCUUCGGACCAAAGAUUUAUCGCCUUUGGAUGGGCCCGCGUUGGAUUAGCUAGUUGGUAGGGUAAAAGCCUACCAAGGCGACGAUCCAUAGCUGGUCUGAGAGGAUGAUCAGCCACACUGGGACUGAGACACGGCCCAGACUCCUACGGGAGGCAGCAGUGGGGAAUAUUGGACAAUGGGCGAAAGCCUGAUCCAGCAAUGCCGCGUGAGUGAUGAAGGCCUUAGUGUUGUAAAGCUCUUUUACCCGGGAUGAUAAUGACAGUACCGGGAGAAUAAGCUCCGGCUAACUCCGUG
rnacentral:rRNA from 1 species